rnacentral:siRNA from 1 species
AGAAACCAAACAUUGUUGAAAAUA